rnacentral:lncRNA from 1 species
UAGAAGUUGAGGAAAAUCACUUAUUCAAUGGUAUUGACCCAAAAUGACCUAUAAUAUUUCCUCAUAUCACAUGUAUUUUCAAGUUGAAUUUACACUUCCUCCGAACAUAAAGGCUAAAAUAGACAUCUUGAAUUUGAUUAUGCCACUUGAAUGGUUUUCAUCUCAUAAAAAUUGAGCAAGUUAUGGUCUUGGGAAGUUGACCUCUAAAUUAGGGUUUAGACAAAAUGACAUAUAAUCUUUCACCAUAACAAAUGACUUUCCA